rnacentral:rRNA from 1 species
GACGAACGCUGGCGGCGUGCUUAACACAUGCAAGUCGAACGGAAAGGCCCUGCUUUUGUGGGGUGCUCGAGUGGCGAACGGGUGAGUAACACGUGAGUAACCUGCCCUUGACUUUGGGAUAACUUCAGGAAACUGGGGCUAAUACCGGAUAGGAGCUCCUGCUGCAUGGUGGGGGUUGGAAAGUUUCGGCGGUUGGGGAUGGACUCGCGGCUUAUCAGCUUGUUGGUGGGGUAGUGGCUUACCAAGUCUUUGACGGGUAGCCGGCCUGAGAGGGUGACCGGCCACAUUGGGACUGAGAUACGGACCAGUCUCCUACGGGAGGCAGCAGUGGGGAAUAUUGCACAAUGGGCGGAAGCCUGAUGCAGCAACGCCGCGUGCGGGAUGACGGCCUUCGGGUUGUAAACCGCUUUCGCCUGUGACGAAGCGUGAGUGACGGUAAUGGGUAAAGAAGCACCGGCUAACUACGUG